CAGUAGCCACGGGAAUACGUAGGUGGCAAGCGUUGUCCGGAAUUAUUGGGCGUAAAGGGCUCGCAGGCGGUUUCUUAAGUCUGAUGUGAAAGCCCCCGGCUCAACCGGGGAGGGUCAUUGGAAACUGGGAAACUUGAGUGCAGAAGAGGAGAGUGGAAUUCCACGUGUAGCGGUGAAAUGCGUAGAGAUGUGGAGGAACACCAGUGGCGAAGGCGACUCUCUGGUCUGUAACUGACGCUGAGGAGCGAAAGCGUGGGGAGCGAACAGGAUUAGAUACCCCGGUAGUCCCUGUCUCUUAUAA
rnacentral:rRNA from 1 species